rnacentral:rRNA from 1 species
CCUACGGGAGGCAGCAGUCGAGAAUCUUUCACAAUGGGGGAAACCCUGAUGGAGCGACGCCGCGUGGGGGAAUGAAGGUCUUCGGAUUGUAAACCCCUGUCAUGUGGGAGCAAAUUAAAAAGAUAGUACCACAAGAGGAAGAGACGGCUAACUCUGUGCCAGCAGCCGCGGUAAUACAGAGGUCUCAAGCGUUGUUCGGAUUCACUGGGCGUAAAGGGUGCGUAGGCUGUUUCGUAAGUCGUGUGUGAAAGGCGCGGGCUCAACCCGCGGACGGCACAUGAUACUGCGAGACUAGAGUAAUGGAGGGGGAACCGGAAUUCUCGGUGUAGCAGUGAAAUGCGUAGAUAUCGAGAGGAACACUCGUGGCGAAGGCGGGUUCCUGGACAUUAGCUGACGCUGAGGCACGAAGGCCAGGGGAGCGAAAGGGAUUAGAUACCCGGGUAGUC